GACAGAGGGUGCAACGUUGUUCGGAAUUACUGGGCGUAAAGCGCGUGUAGGCGGCUAUGUAAGUCGGGCGUGAAAUCCCACGGCUCAACCGUGGAAGUGCACCCGAAACUGCGUAGCUAGAGUCCUGGAGAGGAAGGUGGAAUGCUUGGUGUAGAGGUGAAAUUCGUAGAUAUCAAGCGGAACACCGGUGGCGAAGGCGGGUCGCUGGGCCGAUACUGACGCUGAGGAGCGAAAGCGUGGGGAGCGAACAGG
rnacentral:rRNA from 1 species